CCUACGGGUGACUGCAGUGAGGAAUAUUGGUCAAUGGGCGGAAGCCUGAACCAGCCAAGUCGCGUGAGGGAUUAAGGCCCUGCGGGUCGUAAACCUCUUUUGCCGGGGAGCAGUGGUCCGGACGCGUCCGGACCGGGAGAGUACCCGGAGAAAAAGCAUCGGCUAACUCCGUGCCAGCAGCCGCGGUAAUACGGAGGAUGCGAGCGUUAUCCGGAUUUAUUGGGUUUAAAGGGAGCGUAGAUGGGUUGUUAAGUCAGUUGUGAAAGUUUGCGGCUCAACCGUAAAAUUGCAAUUGAUACUUGCAGUCUUGAGUACAGUUGAGGUAGGCGGAAUUCGUGUUGUAGCGGUCACAUGCUUAGCUAUCACGCAGAACUCCGAUUGCGAAGGCAGCUUACUAAACUGCCACUGACAUUGAUGCUCGAAAGUGUGGGUAUCAAACAGGAUUAGAUACCCGAGUAGUC
rnacentral:rRNA from 1 species